CAUGCAUUAUGUGACAAUUAAUUUAAGCUUUUCAUCUAAAAAAUACUAUAAGAGAAAAUUUUCCUCUAGUUUGACUAGCUAAACAAAUUUCUGAGCAAAUAAAGUCUAUAUUGGUAAAAUUUGUUAUCGCUAGUAAAAAAGAAUUGUUAUCAUGUUCUAAAUUCAUUUCACUGUUUCCAGAUUUUAGCGAUUACAAUUUACAGUUACCCAACAAUAAUAUCAUCUGGAUGAUAUCAUGAUAAUAUAUAUAUUUACUGUAGAACUACUUUCAUAAGGGAUUUAAUUUAUUUAAUUAUUUUAAUUUACAAGAAAAUUAACAAGUUUCAAAUCAAUAGUUUUGACAUUCUAGGUGGAAAAAAUAAAAUUCCUAAAUAAAACGUGAGAUUUAGACACCAUUGCAUCCUAUCACAUUUGAGAUUUUCUGAUCUAAAAUGAAUAAAUGUGAUAUAUUUAGCCAAUAAAAAUAGAAAUUACUAAUUACUUACAGAAAUAACAAUCACCAAUAGUAACGGCACAUUGAUCUUCAGUAGUAAUCAGAGAAGGCAGUUGGAAUUUUUUUUUCGGUGAUUACAGUAACCAAUAAAAUAAAUUGAAUACGUAAUCAUCUAUGAUUUUAGGUUUAAGAUUUUAAUUUGAGGGGUUUUUUAUUUUAGAUAAUUCUAAUCUUAGCAUUGUAUCGAUUAUCGAGUGAUAUCCGAGAAAAAAAAAACAAAGAAAAUUAAGACGACGCACCUGAUGAUUCGGGUUGAUUUGCUGUAGAUCCUCUACAACUGAAUUGCUCAGGCUGAUCAGCGCAAUAACAAACGAAUGAACUAGUAGUCGUAUUAUAACCGCACAUUCCUUUGGACAAAUUACACGUCUCGCAAACGGCAUUAUUCACAUCCCACUGCAACCCAAAGCCCUGUUCCAGCGCUGUAACCAAAUUGUCCUCUGUUGGACUUCUCUCCACAGGCGCAAUGGCUGAUUGAGUUGCAGGAACAAUAACCCUAUUUUCACACAAAUUCAAGAGGCCGAUUAUUGUAGAAUUGAAGUUUCCAAGGUCAACUUCCCUUGUUACAUAGAAACCUCUCUGUUCAGUGUUGUUUAACGUACAGGUAAACUGAUUGGAAAACCCUAUAACUCCCGGAAACGGAAUUGAAAGCAUGGGGCAGCCAUAGCAUAGAGUUAUAUUCUGAACAUCGGAAGCGUAAUUGAAAAAGGAAUCCAAGGUGGUGUUGAUAAGGAGGUCUGGACAGAUGUCUCCUAUGUAAUCUUCUCUAGCGAUCUUCAAAAUAUGUGCGUCGCUAUCGAUUUCAAGCACUUGGUAAGUUAAAUUCUGGAUGGUGAUUAGUGCCGCUUCAUCGGUGCAAUUCAGCCAGAACUUUGGGUGGCCGCAAUAGUCAGGUCGGUCAGAUCUCCAGAAAGGAUAGCCAAUAUUUGUAAUGUUUCCGCAAUCAAAUUUCGCGCUGCAGUUCUGAUAUCGCUCAUCGGUGGCAGACACAAAAGGAGAGCAGACGAAGGUUAUGGUUAGGAUGAAAAUCAAAGACAUGGUUGGGAAGAGAUGAAGUUCCAGUUUCACAGGAACAUAGAGAGAUGGAGAUCACAUACAACUUGAAAGAAGUUUACAUAUAACCGAAGAAGAAGGAAGAGGAAAUCAAACUUGACGUUAAUGAACCGAACUGGGCUGAAAUUGACCAAGUGAAGGAGAAGGGGAAGAAAUUUUGCAACGGAAGCUUCUACCGGAACGGUUUAAAAAUUGGUUGUCAAAUCCAAAUUUAGUGUUUAAAUUGGAAAUGAUGUUUGCAGUGGUCACUAAGCAGCUUAAUUAUUUUCCAAGCUUCUGUUGCAGGAACCAUUAAAACUCGGUACGCGGAAGCCAUGGCGCAUUGAGCCGCUUGAAUAGUCAAAAGAUAACACCCACUUCGCCAAAUAUUAUAUUAAAAAUUUAACAACUUCAAGAUAUGUAUUAUAAUGAUUUUAUAAUUCUGAAACCAAUUAAGUCAAGAAACUGAGACUCACGUUUUAGAUAUUUUAAUCUAAUUUUUCAAAUAUGAUUAGGACUUCCAAGGUGAUCAACUAAAGAUUUACACAUCAAUAUAUUUAUAAUGUCCUCCCUUAAGAGUGUUUGGUAAUAUGAAAAGGAAGAAUAGGAGCAUCACUAACUAUGAUCAUUAUGUGAUGAAAGGAAUUGUCCAAUGCUAAUGUCAAAGAGAUGGAUGGUGUUUUUUCAUAUGGGUUUUAUGGAGCUUGUUAGAAAAUUUAUCCAUUUAACUUCUAGAUUCAUUAGAAAAAUUUACACUUUUUACGAUAAAAUUCAAUUCCCUUUAAUUAAAAAAAAAUUCAAUUUCAAUGAAUUAUAAGAAUUAACUUAAAUUCUAUUCAUUGAUAAGUGUAAUAAAUAUAUUUAUUUUUUUGAUAUAUUUGGCUUUUAUUAUAGUUCAAAUUCAAGAUCUUUCAUAUUUAAAAACAACUUUAAUACCAAUAAGUUAAAAUAAAUUAAUUUCAUAUUUUUCUCAAGUUUACACAUAAAUAAAUAUGUUCAAAUAGAAGUGUUCAACAAAAGUUUUCAUUAAAUAAAUAUAUUUAAAGUUUUCAUUAAAGUCUUCAAAAUGAUUUAUCUUUUUUAAUUAAAAGUAUUCAAUUCUAAUAAUUUUUAAACUUUUAAUUGAAUAUUUUGGACUUUUUAAAUAAACCCUUAAAUGUUGAUUUUAUUAUUAUUAUUAUUAUUAUUAUUUGUGAUUGUGGAAAUGUUGAAUGAUCUGUUUUGCUGAAAAUUUUGAAACGAUGAGCAUAAAUUUCGUUUUCUCCCUAUUGAUUGUAUUGUUGUAUUUAUGAUGUUGACUGAGAGAGAACAGGACAGGCAAUAGUCAAAAUUUGUAUUAAUUAAAUUUAAAUUGAUUAAAUUAGUUCAAUUUAAUUUUGGUAAGAUUUUUGUUUAUUCUUUAUAUUUUUAAGAAAAAAAUGAUAUAUUUUUUCCCACUAGAAAUAAUGAAAGCCUCAUGGAGUCAAAAGAAGAACAGCCACUUCAUAAUUUAACAGAAUAAAACGACAUUAGCUCUGGAUUUAUUCCUAAUUCCUUGCCAAAUUUCUGGAGGUAUUUGACGAAUUGUUGCGAGCUAAGCAUGAUAAUAAUUUUAAUAUUUAAGAGACCAGUAAAAUAAAGUUUCGUGUGUGUUGAAACUGAAAACAAAUCAUAGGCCAUAGCAUUGCGAAAGCUUGAGUUCGAAGGGAAAAAUAAGACUUUUUUCUAGGAUGAAUGUGAGCAAAACCAUAUUAAUCACUUCUCAUAUAGGCAAAUAAGAAACGGAGUCACGCACCUGGCCUGGAAGAACAAGAAAUUGCAGUGGGCUGAUCUUGGCAAAAGCAAGCGAACUCAUUUGUAGUCCUAUUAAAUCCACAACUCCCACCAGAAUCAAUGCAGUUCUCGCAUUGAUCAUUGCUUAUUCGCCACUGCAAUCCAAAUCCAUUCCUUAAUGCUUCAUAAGUUGUUAUUUCAUUGUUGUCCAAGGCCUCAGCACUUGUUUCCAGAAUCGGCACAGUGACACUACUAUUGCACGGAUUAAACGGCAAAUUUCUGGUCACGCAGAAAACUUUGACGUUUGUCCCGUUUAUGAAGCAAUCAGGUUCGCGAAGAAUUUCUGGGAAAGGAACUUUGGGCACGGAAGAACAACCAUAGAGUAGUGUCAAGUUCCGAAGUUCUGAGGCGUAUCUGAAGAUAGUGGAAUCUAGGGAGGUGUUAUAGAAGUGAUGAGGACAAAUAUUGGAGUUAAAGUCCUCCCUGGCUACCAUAAGGGCUUGAUUUUCAGGGCUAAUAUCAAGAAUUCUCAAGGUAAUAGAAGCCGCUGUGAUCAAUGGCACAUUGUCUUGGCACUUGAGCUCAAACCCUGGUUGACCACAGUAAUCUGCUCGGUUUAUACCCCAGAAAGGAUAACCAAUAUUUUGAAUGUUUCCACAUUCAAAUGCCUGACUACAGUUUGCAUAUCUAUAAUCAUCGGCGCAGGAAGAUGUCCGAAUGUUGCUUGAGGUGAGAAAAAUGAGCAGAAGGAAAAUAAAGGUGGUGGUUUCCAUGUCCUUGAAGCUAGUUGGAGAAGAAGGGGAGAAAACAGGAUACGUGAAGGAAAGGGAUGAUGGGAAAUUCCAAAAUGAUUAUAAUGAAAUUUGAGUCCUGAUGAUUAUUUCAAAAAGGGGGGUUUGAAUCCUGUUUUGGAAUUCCUGUUUGUCAUUAAUUAAGAGUUACUGGAAAGAGUCAAAACUAUGGGCAACUCAGUAAAGACAACCAAGAAAAAUCCUCAGUUUGAGCACAUUGCAGGCAAGGAAAUACUAGCGUCAGGAUCUUUGGGGGUAACAAAUGUUAUAUUGGACAAAGUAAAGACCAUAUCCGACUAAUGAGUUCCAAGUGCAAAAGUUCAAAAAAAAAAAAUGGCCUUAAUAUUAAUAAAGAAUCUUUCUUGGAUGUUAAACGUUGAACUCAUUAUUUGACCUUAGCUCGUAAUGGCUCCAAAAAAUAUAUAAAGAAAACUGGAAGAAAACAAAGUGCGAACAUCAAGCAGCUAUGUAUGCAUACCUGGAUUAGCAGGAGCAGUGUCUGGUAAAGAAGUGCAUGUUUUUGCUGCUAAAGUUUGACCCGGACAAUAGCAAGUUGUAUCUUUAGAAACGAGAUCAUAACCACAAACUCCUCUGGAUUGGACGCAAUUGCUACAUCCUGUGUUAUCCAGUUUCCAUUUCACCUUAAAUCCUUGUUUUAAGCUUUCUUCCAAACCUGACAAAUUGAGCAUUACCGUUGCCCAGUCGAAUUCAGAAACCGGCACAAAGACGCUGUGGUAACAUAAUCCAGGGCCAACAGCAUCUGCUAACACAUAACCAUUUUCAGACCCACUUAUGGGGCAAUUGAAUAGUGAUGGAAAUCCUAAAAUAGCAGGUAUCGGGCAACCAUAAAUAAUUGUAAGAUUCAUGUAACCGGGAGCAUAAUCAAAAAGCUGAGGAUCAAGCGUCGUGUUUAUUAACAGUGGAUGACAGACUCCAUUUCUGUAAUCCUCUCUUGCAAUCCUGAGGCUUUGACUUUGCUCUUCGAUUUCCAAAACACGGUACUUCACGUCGUUGAUCUUAAUAGUGGGGGUAGCAAUAUUUCCACAGACGAAAUGAGUAGUAUUGCAGGAAGUGUACCAGUCAGGGUUGCUUAAACACCAUGGAAUUCUAAUAGCAAACAAGAAAACGAAAAUUGGAAGCCACAGAAAAUGAGGGAAAGGGAAAAUCGAAGAACUCAUUUCGGGUCUGGAAGGAAGGUAGAAAUGAGUGAGCAAAAAAAUGGUGCUGAUUAAUUAGAGAUGUCUGAAUCCAAUCUUUGACUUUGAGUGUUUGAAUCAGUUAAGCCAAUAAAUUUCUGAAUUGGGAUGGUCUUGAUAAAAAAUAAAAUAAAAUAAAAUGAAAUUAGUAUAAUUAAAAUAAUAAAUUAUAUUUUUUAAUAUAUCAUCAACUGAUUCUUUACUAAAUUAUUAUUGGAAAUAAUAAUUUUUAUCUUCUAAUGGAUAUUAAAUAAUAGAGUAUUUGCAAGCUAAUCAAUAAUAUUUUUAACAGAAACCCGUGAAUAAAUUAUCAUCUAAAAAAUAAAAAUGAUAUUUAAAGUGGGAUAAUUUAUAACAUAAUUUUUGAAAUUUAAUAAAUUUAUGGUACCGUCUCUACUAUUUUAAUAAUAAAUAAUUUAAUUUUAAAAUUUUAUUCUAUUAACAAAAUAAUUAUUCUGUUGAGAUUUAUUGCUCAAGUAUAACAAUUUAACCUUUUAAAUUUUAUUUUUUAACUAUUUAAUUUUAUUAAUUUUAAUAAUUUAUAACAAUUUAACUUUUAUAAUUUUAAUAUUUAUAAACUCCUUCAAUUUGAAUUGACUACUCCAUAUAAUAGUUUACUAAAUUUAACAAAAAAAUUAUUUUAUUAAUAAAAUAAAAAUUCAAGUAUUAAAUGACUAAAUUGUGGAUUGAGACUAUACCAUAAAUCAACUUUAAACGACGUAGAUAUUUUAUCAUAGAAUAGAGCGAGUAUUUUGUAUUAUUUAUGGUCAUUAAACUUUGAAUUUCAUUUUCAUCACUUAAUUUUAAUUUUUUAAUAAAAUGACACAAAUUUAAUUUUUAUUAUAACUUAUUAUAAUAAAUUUUCAAGUUACUAAAUAAAAAAAUAAAUUAUUUUAACUCCUCUCUCCAUUAUCUUGCUAUUUUUUUUCUCUUAUUCUCUCAUUUUUGUAUUCAAAAUAAUUAUUUUACCAAAUUAGUAGUAGUUUAUAUAUAUAUUUCUUAACUUAUAAUAAAGUGAAAACUUUCUAUUUCCAUCCAAUCAAUUGUCCAAAUGAUAAUUUUCAAAAAAAAAAAUUUCAUAGAUUUCAAUUAUUAGCAUUAAAAUCUUUCCUUAAUUUCUAUCAAAACACCCCUUCAUUUUAAUUAAAUUUAAUAAUCAUUAUUUAUAAUUUUAAAAUAAUUUAUUAUUUUAACAUUCACAGGCUUAGUUUAGUCUAAUGGUAAAUACGUCUGAUGGUAAGUGCAUCUCAAUAAAUUUGAGAGAUUUCACAUUCUACUCUCUCAAUUUUCAAUUUUCAAUUUUCAUUUCAAAAAAAAAAAUAUUAUUUUAAAACUAAUUACCAUUCACAUGUAUUUAUAACAAAGUUAAAAAAAUUCAUAAUAUACAGGCUAUAAUUAAUUCUUUAACUAAUUAUAGUUUCUUUUUCUAUUAUCUUUUAUUUUAUAAUUUUUAUUCGCUUUACUGUUUCACACAUACUAAAAAAUAUAAUUUUUAUUAAUUUUUUAAUUAUAAUCCUCUUAAAAAUAUUAAAUUUUAUUAAUUUUUUUUAUGUUUAAAUUAUAAUAAAAGAAUGAAAACUAAGUUAUAAACAAAUUAUUUUGCGCACACAAACAUAAAUAAAGUUUUUAAAUUACUCAAAUGCUAAAAUUCAAUGGUAAAUAUAUUAUAUAAUUUGAUAGUAAAAUAUAAUAAUAAUCUAUUAAAAUAAAAUAAUUUUAUUAAUAAAUACUUAUCAACUAAUUUUAACAUAAAUAGUAUUUAAAAAAAUGAGAGAUAGAAGUUAGUAACUUCAAAAAAUUUCCUAUAACAAGUUAUAAUGAUUUUUUUUUUGAAAAAAAAUAAAGUUAGGUGUUGUAAAUAAAAUAAAAUUCAAUAGUCAUGGAUAAAAAUUAUCACAAUCAAACUUUUUGGGCUUGAAUUUUAAAAAUAAAAAUAAAAAUAAAAAUAAAAAUAAUUAGCUUAUCUCCGAUGAGAGAAAUUUUAAUGCAUCUCAACUUCCAUCUGUUUACUCAAUUCCAACCGCCUAAAACCAAUAAUGACAAAAUCCUUCAUAAAUACCCAACAACCAUGAAUGCUACCUACCUCUUCUAUCAAUUUUAUGAAAUUCAGGCUUAUGAGAAUUAAAUAAUUUUCAAUUUCAUCCAUGCAUUUAUACCUUCUUUCAUUAAUGUUGAAAUUGGGAUAUAAGUCGUGGGCCUAAUUCAAUAAUAACUACCACUAAAAUUAAAUUAGAUAGAUAUUAAAUUCAACUCCUCUAAUCGUCUGUGCUUAUUUUUCACAAAGAAAAAAAUUAUUACAAACACUCAUGUUUAUAAAAAAAAAAAAAUUAUGCAAGUGGCAUAUCAAAUGAAAUUAACACAUUUUAUUAUAAAUAAUAAUAAUAAUUUGUAUAUGUUUUUAAAAAUUUACUAUUUAAUUAUUUAAUCUUUGAAUAUUGUCAUUAUUAAUAAAUCAGUUUCUAUAUUUUUAAAAAACUAUUAAAACAUUUUUUUUCAACUCUAUUAAAAUAUUUUUAUAUUUUUUCAGAUUUAUUAAAACAUCCAUAUAUAAUCACUAUUCCUCAUUUUUCACUUCCUCUCAUCGUUCUCCUUUUUAAAGAAAAAAAUUUUAAACAAAAAAAAAAAGAAUAAUUUAAUUUUUUACUAUAUAUUUUUAAUAAUAAAAAUAAAUAAAAAAAUUAUUUUAUUAAUAAAAAAAUAAAAAAUAUUUUAAUAAACUUUUAAAAAUAUAAAAAUUAAUUUAUUAUUAAUAAUGAUAAUAUUUAAAAAUUAAAUUAUAAAUGUUCGUAUCAUUUUAAUAAUUUAACAUAAAAUAUUAUUGUGCUCAUAAAAUAAUUUUUUUAUUUUAAAAAAUAUAUAAUUAGAAUUUAUUUUUCAUUAAAGUUGCAAUAUAUAUAUAUAUAUAUUAUUAUGGUCUUAUGUUUACAAAUUAUCAUAAUUUUAUAUUUUUUAAUUAGACCAAAGGUAAAGCCAUGAGAUUCAAUAUGAUGACAAAAAAUCAUAUAAGACUAGCGGAGUCAUGCCCAAAUGAUUACUGACAAAGGCCUUUAGCUGAGCCCAACGCAAUCUCUUAUUAAUCCGAGUCCUCAACUACAAUAAAUUUAAAUGGAAAACCGUUUCACAUCAAUCACGGCUUUAUUUUUUUAAAUGCAAAAUUAUGACCUUUUUUCCAAAAUUAUGAAAUUUCUUUCCAAUAUUAUUUAUAAAUUACAAGUUAAAAGAUUUAAUGAAUUAGCAAGAUUUUCAAAAUUAAGAUAAGUAACUUAAAAAUAUAUAUCAAUCAAUUUCUUUAAAGUAUAUUAAUUUUUUUCUUAAAAUAUUUUUAUUAAUCAAUUUUUUAUAAUUAUUGCAAAUAUUAAAAAACACAAAAAUUAUAUUUUUAUAACAUUUUUUUUAGAAAUAAGUAGACCCAUAUAUUUAUUAUUUGUACAUUUUGUGCACUUGUGAAACUAUUUAAACUUAAAAUUGAAUAUAAAUAAACAAAUAUAACUACCAAAUAAAAUAUAUAAUUAAAAGUAUAUUUAUAUAAUAAAAAUCAAAAUAAAUAACAUUUCAAAAUGUAUAUAAUAAAAUAGUCUACAAGUAAUAAUAAAAAUCUUCCAUUUUCUUAUUUUAUCCAUCUUCAUCUGAAAUAUAUUAGAACGUACCAAAGUACCUGUUGCAGGAAUACCUGCUUAAUGCGUAUAAAAGGGAAAUUCCAGAAUAAUAAGAGUGGAAUUAGUGGUCUGGCAAGUUUCUCUUUUCUUGCCCAUGCAUGUUGCUUCACAUCAUAUAUAUUGUUUCUCCUUUUAUUAAUUAGUUAAAAAAACAGAGAGAUUGUAAAUGGCUGAGAUUGAUGGUGUCGUGUGCAAUUUUAGACAGUUUAUAAUAUUAUAUAGAUAUAAACGAAUUUCUAAAUAAUUAUAUGAUCUGAUUAACUUAACCAUAUAAAUGAUUAAGUUAGAUGUCCAAAAACAAUAAUGAUGAAAUUAAAGAAAGAAGGAAAAGAAAGUAUAUAUUUAAACAAAAUAUUAUUGAAGCUGAUUAUUUAAUUUAAUUUUCCCUUCCACAAUUUAUUCCAUAUAUAGAACUGGAUCGCUAAAUCCUGAGUUCUUGGUUUUUCAUGUGCAUAAUAUGAUAUAUGAGUCUGUUACUGAUUGACAAGUUAGAAGGGGAGCUUCUUUUUUAUUACUUCUCUAGCAACUAGGGAAGGCAACCCCACAUGCACUAGAAACUCUUUUGGCGCCGGGUAAGUUUAUAUACUGCUUCAGAUUUGGGUUGUUCAUGUACUCACAAAGGCAUGGCUUCUGCUCCCUCAACUUGCUGCAGCAUGUGCUUGACGGCGGCGUCGAAGACGUAACCGCAGGCAGACAUGAGCUCAGUUCCGAAGGGUUGCAUGUCACUGCAUUUGACAAGCGCACCUCAGUCAUAAGCAUCAAUGCUGCCAUCAUCACCACCACGCAUACGACUGAACCGGAAACCUUCUUCAUCUUCAAGAACUGUGAAUUCAAUUUGCUCAGUGAGUAAGUGCAAGUGUGCGAGAAGAAAAUGGUGCGUUAGACCAGGAGAGAAUCAACAGAAUUUAAAGACGGCGAGGAAGAAAAUGAUGCGUCAUCGAGGCUGACGUGGCAACUAGGCAAUUCAAUUUGAUUCCAUAAAAUUAAAGGCAGUGGGGUCCACCAACUUUGAAUUAGACUGACGUGUCGGACUGAAAAUUGAUCUCAAUCUGGGCUGUGGUAAUUGCUGAUUGGCUCUCAACAUUUUAUAUUGGAAGCGCCAGUGGGUCCCGAGAACCCACGGUUUCACUAUAACUGGAUUCAGACUGCACGUCCCCGUCCAUCCAUUCUCACAAACGACAACUGCGGUUUAAUUUUUUAUCAAAUUAAUUUUUAUAUUAAUAAACUUAAAUUAUCACUGUAGAAUAUAAAAUUUAAAUUAUUUUAUUAAUAAAAUAAAACUUGAAUGACUAAAUUUUAAAUCUAGAAAUUAAACUAUGAAUUUCAUUAAACUUUAAAUAUUAAUUACUUUUUUUUUGAAAUGGAUAUUAAUUACUAUUUAUUAGCAAUAUUUAAAUUAUGUCAAAAUAAAUAAAAAUUAUUUUACUAAUAGCAUAUGAAACUAAAAAAAUAUGUAAAUUAAGAAAUGUGAGCAGUUAGCAAUUAAAUGAAAGGGUGGAUGGAGAUAAAUAAAAUUAAAUGGGAGCAGUGGAACUUAGUGAAACGUUUUCCGCUUUUCCAGAUUGUUAGUUAAUCUGUUAGGCUGUUUGAGAAUUAAUUAUGGCAGUUACUCUUUCAUUGCUUACACUCUGUAUACAAACCGCAAGCCGAGUUUUUCGAUUUUUCGAUUUGUGAUUUUUUUUUUCAUCUUCGUUUCCAAUUUUAGCUUUUUUUUUAAUCUUAUAAUUAAUCAUUUAAUUACUAUUUUUUGUAAAAUAUUAAAUUAUUAUUGAAAUUAAUAAAUUUAAUUUUUUAAUACAUAUUAAAAGGAUAAUUAGUAAAUUACUAUCUAAGAAAAAGAAUAUUAUAUAUAUAUAAUUUUUUUUGCCAAAGGUAGGAAUACGAAUAUAUGAUUAAUAAAAGAGAGCCAAGUGCAUUAUGAAUAUAGUUCAUGCCCGAAGGCAUCAAUAAUAGUAAAGCACAACAAGCCUAUGGGCCUAAAAAACAAAGACUAACUAUAAAACAAGUAAAUCCCAUUAGCUCCAAAGUAGCUUAUGAUUUAAAGAAGGAUCCAACUCAGCAAACAGCCCAGCCCACUUCGGUUACAAUCUUUGAAGCCCUAGAACCUGAAUAUGAAGGGUGGGUAUGAUGGGAGUGCUACCUCCGAUUAGGACUGCUCUUCUCCAGUGAAGGAAGAAAAAAAACAAGGAUUCUUGCAUGUCAAAAUCAACCAUUAAGUGCGCAACUCUAAAGAAUAAUAAGGCCUUCAGCUUCCGCUAAUGUGCAUAGCGGAACUUUACCUUUUGCCUAGUCAAGUCCUUAACUACAAUGACAUUUAAAUGAUAAUAUGAGAAACACCUGACUCUACAAGUGAAUUACUUAAUUAUUUAAGUAUUGUCUUUGUUUGGAAUGCUAAAUUAUUACUUAAUUAUUAUUAUUAUUACAAUAGCGUCAUGCGUCCGCGUCCACGAAUUCUCUAAACCUUUGCAUGUGGACACUAUACGUUGCCUGUAAAAUCCAUCCAUUUCAAGUAUAUUCUGCUAACGCUUAAACACCCGCUUGCAUGAGGGCAUUAUCUCUCACUUCCCUUUCAAGCAUUAAAUUUUUAACUUCAACUUUAAUCACAUGUUGCUGUUAUCAAGCUAAGUGUAUAGAAUUCGCUUUUUUCAAUUAAUAAUUUUACUUUUAUUUGAAAUUAUUUUUAUUUUUUAAAUUAUCAACUAUUUCUCUAACAGAUUGUCCUUUUUAAUACAAUAUAUAUAUAUAUAUAUAAUUUGAUCGAUCUAAUUGAUUGCUACUUCAUUUUUAACUGAAAUUAGCAAUUUUUUUCCAGUUUAGCAACACAAAAAUUUAUCACUAAAUUAUAAAAAUAUAAGGUUUUUUUUUUUUAUGUCACAGGUUAAAAAAGGGAGCAUAACUGUAGUAGACUAUACAAUAUUGAAAAUAUAUAUAGUUUUUCUUUUAAUUUUUAUGAACAUAAAAUAAAGUGAAUAACUCAAGUUCAGAAUAUAGAAUGUUUUUAAAUUUGAAAAAUAGUUUUUUUCUUUCUUAAUGAAAUUAUCCAACAUAACUCUAAAUUUAUGAAGCCAAUAAAUUUCAGAUAAUUAAUGAUUUAUAAAAAAAAACGUAAACUUCGUUGAUCGAGAUAUAUCCACCGCAUAAUACGAAAAUAAUAAAGUUGUGACAGAACAUGUCUAGCAUGAAGCAACGCUAAGGAGUAACGAAAUUAUUUUUAAAAUAAAAUAUAAUUAUAAUUAAUUUAUAUAUUAUUAUAGUAUAAAAAUAAAUAAUAAUUUUAAAAAAUAGAUAAAAAUUGUAAAAUAGAAGGAGAGGGAAUAUCUGUAAAAACAAUAAAGAUAACACAUAUAUUUAAUUAAAGACGAUAUUAUUUAAAUUAGGGAGCUGAUUACUCAUAAGCUGUGUAAUCAAGGCUUCCAUAUUUUAUUCCAUAAAACUACAUGCAUGAGCUAAACUCCCCAUUUCAUAAUAUAACAUAACAUAUGAGUCUGCUACUGAUAAACAAGUGUAGCUAAUAUUUCUAGAAGGGGAGCUUCAUUUUUAUUUACUUCUCUAGCAAGCAGGGAUGGCAACCCCACACGUGCUAACCACCUUUCUGGCACUGGGUGAGUUUAAAUACUGCUUCAUGCUUGGAUUCUUCAGGUACUCGCAAAAGCACGGCUUCUGCUGCUUCAAGUUGGUGCAGCAAGUGCUUGAUGGCGGUGUCGACGACGAGAUCGCCGGCAGGCAUGAGCUCAGUGCCGCAGGAUUGCAUGUCGCUGCAUUUGACAAGCGCACCUCUGUCAUAAGCAUCAUUGCCGCCACCAUCACCACCACACAUAGGAAUGAACCAGAAACCUUCUUCAUCUUCCAGAACAAUUAAGUCAAUUUCAGUUAGCCAAUAAGUGCAAGUGUGUGAGAAGAAAAUGGUGCCUCAGGCCGAGAGCGACUCAGCAGAAUUUAAAGACCGUGAGGAAGGAAGGGGUGCGUCGCGAAAGCUUAAGUGUUAAUUGGGCAAUUCAAUUGAUCUGACAAAAUUAAAGGCAGUGGGUCCUUCGACGUUGAAUUGAGCUGCGAAAAUGUUACGGGUCUGACUGAAAUUUGAUCUAAAUCUGACCAGCGGUGAUCAGCUAUCUAUAUCAUGUGAUAUAACAACCGACAGUUUCACAGUGACUGGAUUCAGACUGCAGGUCCAUUAUCUGUUCACACUUCACACGAAACACAACUGCAAUUGAUUUGAUUUUUUUUUAAUCAAAUCAACUAUUAAUUUUUUCGAAAAUAUAUAUUAUUAUUAUUAAUUUGUUGAAUUAUCAUUUGUCUUAGAACUGAAUUAACUUAUUCUAAUUUCAAAGUAAAACAAAACUUUUUUUUCAAUUCAAUUUAGUUUAUAAAUAUUUUCAUAUUUAAUUUUUUUUAAUUUAGUUUAGUUAAUUCUUUAAAAAAUAGAAAACAAUUUAAUUUUAUGGGCAUGAUUAGCUGUUUAAAUUUAAAAUUAAUAAAUAUUUACAAUAUGAAAACUUUUUUUUUAUAUUUUACACAGAAAAACUAAUCAAUAAAUUAUCCUAAAAAAGAAUUUUACUUAUAAUUUGAAAUUGAUAAAAAAAAUUAUCUCUAUAAAACAGAAGUAAUAUUUAAUAAUAAAAAUUAAAUAAGAUACCAUAACUAAUAAAUGCAUUGGAUAGGUUCUAUCUAUCUAAAUACUUAAUCAUUUAUUGCUCAUUUUUCUUAAUUUAAAAUAUGUGAAAGCUGAAUUUUAAUGAUUUUUUCUUUAAAAAAAAAAAAACAAAUUUCAAAGUGUCGGUGGCACCGCUUUCUUCAUUUUACGUUUAAAAACUCAUAUCAACAAAAACUUGAUUCAUUAUAUAAGUUUUGCAUGUAACUUUCUUUUCCUUUUUCUUAAUUAAGAUAUUAAAUAAUACAUAAAAGUAAAGAUUUUUUUCAUGAUUUAAUUUUUUAUUAGAAAGGAAUAUAACGUUUUUUUAUUAUCCAUUAAGUUUGCAUAAAAAAUUUUAUUUACUGUAAAAAAUUUUAAAAUAAAAGCUUUUAAGUUAAAAAAUAAUAAAUUCAUUCAUUCUAAAAAAUUAAAAUAUUAAAUAAAUAAAAUUAAAUUUUUAUAAAAAAAUUUACUUCUAAACAAAAAAUAAACGAAAGUGAUGAUCAAACACUAAAUAAUUUAUUAAUUAAAAAGAUAUAAUAAAUAUUAAUUAAUUAAAUACAAAAAAAAAUACUCCAUAUAAAUAUUUUUUAAAAAAAAUUAUAAUAUAAAUAUAUAAAAUUUUAUAACAUCUGACAGUGUAUUUAUAAUAUAAAUCUACCUAGAGAUAAUGCAGGUAAGCAUUUUCAAUUCCAUAAUAAUUGAGAGUCUCAACACCCCCAAACCAAAAAAAAACGUUUGUCCUAAUUAUAUUCCACCAACCAACUACCAGCAUUUAAUAGUGACAUAAUUAAUUAAGCUGCCAUAAAGCUAGGAGUAUUUUUUUUUUAAUCAUAUAUUUUUUUUAAAUUGAAUAUCAAAAAUUAAAAGAAUAUAAUUUUAUUGAAUAAAAAAAUAUAUAUAUAAUUUUAAUUUUUUAAAUUUAUUCAGAUAUAUUUAUUUAUCGUCAAAUUAUACCAUUAUUUUAAUCAUAUUUAUAUAGUCAAAUAUACUUGACCAAAAAAUAAAUAGAAUCAUGGAACUUAUAAAAAUGGGAUAGUUUGAUGAUUUUAUAGACAUUUAUUAAUAUGUAAUAUUUAUUGUUAGGAAAAAUAUUUAUUAUUUUUUAUAUAUUAAAAAAAUAAUUUAUUUAUUAAAUUUUCAAUUACAUUAUCUUAAAUAUAUUAAAUUAUUUACUUUAUUAUAUAUAUAUAUUAAAAAAAUAAUUUAUUUAUUAUUUUUAAUUAUAUUAUUUUAUAUAUAUUAAAUUUUAUUAAAUAUUGUGAGAUAUUUUAAAUUUUUUGUUAUAACAAUAUUAAUAUAAUAAAAAAAUAAAAACUAUCCAAAACUAAGUUGGAUCACUGAAGAGCAUUUAACCUGUCGAAUAUUCAUUUUAAAAAAUUUUUUAAAAAUAAACAUAAAUUUAUAUAUUAUUAAACUAUAAAUAAAAAUUAUAAAAUAAAAUAAUAUUUAAAUUUUAAAAUAUAAUUAAAUUUAUAUUUAUUAUUGGCAAGUUGCAUCAACAUUUUAAUUAUCAUCUCUCAUUAAAUAUUAAAAAGGACCUUUUAAUGAUAUCGCACCUAAAUAUUAAUAUUUUAUAUCAUUCUUUAUCGUUUCUUUUUUCCCACUAACUCAAAGUAUCCGGUAGAUUUUAUGAUCCAAGGAUCAAAUCCCCGCCCCACUCCUUAGUUUGACAAAAACAAAAAACCUUUUAUUAGGAUUUAAUUAGUCUUUUUCAACAUUGAAUAUAAAUUUUGUCUUAAUAAUAUUAAAAAAAUAUAUAUUCAUAAACUUAAUCGGAAGGAGAGUGCAUCUAAAUAAAUCUAAUAAAUCUGAGAUAUUUCAAUAUCUACUCCUUUAUUUUCAAUUUUCAAUUUAAAAAAAAAUAUUAUAAAAAUAAUUUUUAUUAUAUAUAAUAAUAUAUUUUAUACGGAUGAGAAAUUGGACCAUAAUUUUUAGCAUGAGAUGCAUGAGAUAAGAAUAAGCGUAUGGAUAUGCCUUGGAUUGAUUUAAUUUGAAAUCAAAUUUCAAUCAAAUAAAUUAAAAAUUUAAGUUUAAAUAUUUAUAAAAAUUAAAUAGAAUAUAACUAAAAUAAAAGAAAAAUUUAUUUGAAUUAAACGAGUUUAAUUCGACUGGUUGAAUUUUUUACUUUUACACUUUAUUUUAAAUAUUUUAUAAUUUAAUUAAAAUAUUUUAAUUUUAUUUAAAGUUGAAUCGAUUUGAUUUAUUUUUAUUAAUUUUUUAUUAAAAUUAAAUUGAAUAAAAAUUAAUUAUUUUUUUUAAAUUAAAAUAAAAUUAAACAAAAAAAUAUAAAAUUGAAGUAAAAUUUUAAAUUAAUUUGAUUUAAUAAGUUAUUUCAAUUUGAAUCAAAUAUCAUUUAUAGUAGAAUCUAAAUCAUAGGUUCAUAUAAAUGAGUCACGUUAUGUAAGGUUUAUGUAAACCAAAAGUAUGAAUACAUGAAUAACAAUUUCAUAUCAUAAUUUUUAUUUAUAUUUUUUUAUUAUCUAAAAAUUAUUUUUUAUUUUUAUUUUUUAGACUAUAAUAAUAUAUAAAUUAAUUAUUAUAAUUUUAUUUAAUUUUUAAAAAAAUCAAAAUAUUUUUUAAUAUUUAAUAAAAUCUAAAAAAAUUGUACAAAAUAAAAUAGAUAAAAAUUAUAAAAUAAAAAAAAAUAAAAAUUAAAAAAAAUCUGAAAUAACUUGUUGAAAAGGGGAAGGAGGGCAAGGUUUAAAUAAUUUGACAAUAAUUCAUAUUAAAAUAGGCCCAUUAAAGCAUUAAUUAAUAUAGCGUUUUAUGACAACUGCCCGAAGUCGAUUGUAAUGUGUUCUAGCUAGCUACACCAUUUAUCUUCAUAUGCCCCACCUUUCGUUUUGAAAUUUUUAUUAUUUUUUAUUUUAAAAUUAUUUUUUAUUUUUUAUAUUAUAAAUAAUAUAUAAAUUAACUAUUAUAAUUUUAUUUAAUUUUAAUUUAUUUUUAAUAUAAACUCUUAUUAAUUAUUUUUUUAAAAUAAAUAUUUAAAAUAUUUUUUAAUAUUUAAUAAAAUUUAAUAAAUAUAAUUACAAAAUUAAUAAAAAAUAUUUUUUAAUAUAUAAAAAAAUAAAGUAAAUACAAAUUAUAAAACGGAUAAAAUAUUAAUUAUCACUUUAAAUUUAAAUUAAAUAUUAAAAAUUCUCUAUAUUAGUGAUAAAAUUAUAGAAACUCAACUUUCCAUAGUUAAAUAUCUUAGCUAAUCUGCAUUUAGAAAAUAAAAUUUAUUAAUUUCAUAAGUAAAUGAAAAUAAAACUAUAUAAGUAAAACUGUUUAUUAAAGAAAAGAAUAUAAAAUUCGUUACUUUUCACUAUAUCGACUAUAAUUAUUUAAAAAAUAAAUAGAACCAUUAGAGUAUUAUUUUUUAUGAAUGAAGGGAUUUUAAUUUUACAAUAAUUAAAAAAAUUAUGAAAGAAAGGGAGAUAAUAUGUUUAAAAAUAAUAAUGAUAACACCAAUAUUUAAUUAAAGAUAAUAUUAUUUAAAUUAGAGAGCUGAUUACGCAUGAGCUGUGUAAUCAAGGCUUCCCUAUUUUAUUCCAUAAAACUACAUGCAGAGCUAAACUCCCCGUUUCAUAAUAUAACAUAACAUAUGAGUAUGCUACUGAUAAACAAGUGUAGCUAAUAUUUCUAGAAGGGAAGCUUCAUUUUUAUUUACUUCUCUAGCAUUUAGGGAUGGCAACCCCACACGUGCUAGCUACCUUUCUGGCAUUGGGUGAGUUUAUAUACUGCUUCAGGUUUGGAUUCUUCAGGUACUGACAAAAGCACGGCUUCUGCUGCUUCAAGUUGCUGCAGCAAGCGCUUGAUGGCGGCGUCGACGAUGUUAUCGCCGGCAGGCAUACGCUCAGUGACGCAGGAUUGCAUGUUGCAGCAUUUGACAAGCGCACCUCUGUCAUAAGCAUCACUGCCGCCACCAUCACCACCGCACAUAGGACUGAACCAGAAACCUUCUUCAUCUUGGAGAACAAUGAAGUCGAUUUCACCUAUCGAGUAAGUUCAAGUGUGUGAGAAGAAAAUGGUACCUCAAGCCGAGUGCGAAUCAGCAAUUUAAAGACGGUGAGGAACUUGGAAAAAUGCAGUCUUUCUCAUAAUUAUAUUCUGCCUUCCUACUAACAACCACCACCAUUUAAUACUGACAGCUACUGUACUACAAGAUGGAGAAAGCUGGAGCCCAUUCUUUUUUUUUUAAACCAUAUUUAUAUAGCCGAAUUUAAUUGUCAGAAAAUAAAUAAAAUUGGAACUUUGUAAAUAAUAAUUUGAUAAUUUUGUAGGAUUUUUUUAAUAUGUAAUGUUUAUUUAAUUCUUUAGAAAAUUUUCAUAAUUAAAUUUAAAAUUUUAAUUCAAUUUAUACUUAAAUUUAUUAUUGGCCAGCCCAUCAACUUUUUAAUUAUCAUCUCUCAUCAAUUAUUUAACCUUUUAAAUAUGAUAAAUCUGGUUUUCCUUCUGCUCCAUAUGAUAAAUCUAUUUUUUUUUGUUCAUCACAUAAGUCACUCAAUACUUGAUUCAAAGAAGAAAUUUACAAAAUAAAAAAAAAUGGUCAGAGGUCUACCGGAGAUUCCCUGGUGAAGACCCUCCGACGUUCAAGUCAGAUUUUAUGAACUAGAAUAGUAUGGAUAGGCAAGAGUUGCAGAGAGAAGAUAAAGAAAAAUGGAGUCCAUGAAGAAGAAGGAAGAAGAAAACUCUCUCCCCUUGUUUGCUUGUAAUGUAUAUCUACUUCCUUGCUGCGAUGCUAGCUGUCUCUGUCACUCAACUCCGCACGUACGGAUGUAUCAGGGCCCCUCUCCAUGUCAGGCAGCCAUUUAAUUCUCCCCAGCGCGCAUGCGGGCAAGGCUGCAAGGUGAUUGGGCAUGCUCCCCUACUUCUUAUUACGUCACCUGGCUGGGCUCCCUUUAGAUGGGCCCGCGUGUGUGACCUGUUCGGCCUGCUUCUCAUUACAGAGAUGGGGCGCGCUGCGUGGGGCUGGUUGGCUUUAGGAAAGGCCUGGUGGGCCUUGGGCCUGCGUCCUUUUUUAAGGCUUGGCCUUGUCCCCAGAUGCAAGAAGCCCGACGGUCAUCAAGUGCUCCUUUACCUCUUCAACAGUUAUUACAUGAGUGAUGAGGGGGUAAAUCCCUAGGCCCCAUUAUGACCGCGUUGCCUUAGAACGGCUCUUGUCAGAACGUCAUUUCCUUGCCUUUUUAUUUCUUUGUCUCUUUACUUUGAUGUUUGAAUGUAUGACAAUCUGGAGAUGUGUAUUCGAUGAUGAAUGAUAUUUCACUUCGGCCUGUGCCUCAUUAUUAUUUUUUACUCAGACUGCCUUCUAGCUUUACCAAUCUGCGCAAACCCUUUAAGCUUAGCCCAUUUUCUCCAUCUGACUUGUGAAUUUCUUCUAACCUAACUUGACUUAAUCAUAAAAGUCUUAAGCUAGAUGCCCACUUAGCAAAUUUCAACUCGCUUAACUUUACUUAAUUGAUGGACCAGGCUGUCUCUACUGGGACUUUGCCAAUCGAACUGAUCCGGGCUAAAAGCUCGGCGUCUAGCUAAACUUCUUAUUUGCGAGUUUUUCUUGUUUUUAUGAGGGCAUUUCUAUCUUUGGCUCAUCACCUUGUCAGUGCUACGAGCUCGGAUAUAUAAUACUUCGAGAAAUGUCUUGUUUGCAUGAGUGCCCCACAUUAGACGAUUUUAAAUCUUGUUCUUGUUAUGAGCUCGGACACCUUGUCCUUCUUGAUGUAACCUUCUGACAGUUAGUGCGGUCUGAGUUGUGUGCUCCACUGGGAUAGGGAGCUUGGCCUUUUGUCAUUUUCUUCUUCCUGGGUCAUCUUCGCUAAGUGUUUGUUUACUGUGAGUUAAUCCGAGUUAUGAGCAUGGUCCUUUGUUUUCGUUUAUCCUUUUGUGCAUUCCACAUUUGCGGGCCUUUUCAUAUAGGGAGCUCGGCUCUUUGUUGCUUCUUCUACACUUAGCUUUAUUCAGCUUGGUUAUUUACUUGUUGCGAGUCCGUCCGUACUGCGAGUUCGGGAGCUCGGAUUUUUGUUCUUUACUUAGGCUUUUAUGCCUAAAGCCUGCAAUGCUGCUUGUGCUAUGAGCUCGAGAGUUCGGGAUUUCGCUUUCUUCACUUUGGUGCCCUAAGCUCUUUUGUGAAGUCGGACUUAAUUUCUUGCUUCCUUGUCUAGCCUUAUACAGGCUAUGUUUCAGCCUGACUGUUUAUUUGUUCAGCUUUAACUUUUCUUUUAUAGGAUUAUAGCUUUGCCAGUACAGUCAUAAGGCUCAGCAGGGAGGUAUGUCUGGCCCCUUCUGAGCUUUUGGAGAGAUCGACCCCGGGUCGAAGAGGUUGGACUAUUUGUUUUGGAUUUGACCAUACUGGAGUUCGAUUCUUUUGUAUCCAAUGAAUCAAGACUUUCCGUUGCCCCGUCCUAUCAUUCAGAAUGGUUCACUUGGCCUUUUACAUUGCUCAUGUCCCUUGAUUCUUUAUCUGAGCAUUUGGUUCUCGAGUAUGUCUCGGUUGUUUGGGUUUUUUGCCCCGAGUGCUUUUCGAGAUGUCUUCCCUUAAACGUUUUGCGGGUUCUUUGCUGCUUAGACCUUUCUCUAGGCUAGCCGAGCUGGUUUAGUGCCAGGGGUCAAUUCUCGAGGUCGGUGCCUCUUAUGAUUGCCCUUAAUCCUUUGUUUGGUUCUCUAUCUCGGUAUGCAGCUUAGGAUUCGCUUUGCCUUAAUUUGAUUUGCCUAUUGCUUUACCAGUGCCGAGCUCAUUUUCUUGAGAUCGGCAUGGCGUUUUGGCGUAUUCGCUCCGUAAGCCUUACAUUGGCCUUUAGUAGGCCGCAUUGCUAUAUGAUACGGGUGUUGGGGUGCCUUAGUUUAAUUUCUUUAUAUGCUGGCUAUUUUGCGAGAUUGAAGUCUUAUUAGCCUGUAAUCCGAGCUCUUUUGAGAGGUCGGAUUCAGAUUUUUUACUUUUAUUCCAGCACCCUCUUGAGGUCGGCAUGGCGCUUUUGGCGCUUUUGGCUGUUGUGUGAGAUCGAAGUCUCUUUACCUUAUGACUCGAGCUCCUUUGGGAGGUCAGAUUUUAACUUUUCCUUUGUGGUCCAGUGCCCUAAUCUUUUAUGUGAGGCCGAAACUGUGUUUUUAUGUGUUGUUUUUGUGCAUUGUUAAUGUAUGCUGCUGUUUGUUGUGAGCAUAUGGUAUUUUUUAGUAAAAAGCGAAAGAAUAGUUCCCUUUGUCCUCUCAGCUCGGUCUUGUGGUGCUGGCGGUCAUUGUCCGAGGCCUGUCACCUACCUCACUGAGGUCUUGCGCAAGAUUCAGGCUCAUAGGCCUUACUGUCGCUUCAUCAUCUCAGCCGAUUUUGUGGUGCCGUGAGUCAUUUUCCAAAGCCGGUCACCUACCUCACUAAGGUCUUGCGCAAGAUUCAGGCUCAUAGGCUUUACUGUCGUUUCAUCAUCUUAGCCGGUUUUGUUGUGUCGGGGGUCAUUUUCCGAGGCCGGUCACCUACCUCACUGAGGUCUUGCGCAAGAUUCAGGCUCAUAUGCCUUACUGUCGCUUCAUCAUCUCAGCCGGUUUUGUGGUAUCGGAGGUUAUUUUCCGAGGCCGGUCACCUACCUCACUGAGAUCUUGCGCAAGAUUCAGGCUCAUAGGCCUUACUGUCGCUUCCAUGCUCUUUCAGUCUUGCAUGAGAUUCAGACUCUUUUGGCCUCGCUUCAUCAUCUUAGCCGGUUUUGUGGUGCUGGGGGUCAUUUUCCAAGGCCGGACACCUACCUCACUGAAGUCUUGCGCAAGAUUCAGGCUCUUUGGCCUUACUAUUGCUUCCAGACUCUUUAUCCUUGCAUGGAUUCAGGCUCUGUGGCCUUACUGUCGCUUCAUCAUCUCAGCUAGUUUGUGGUGCCGGGGGUCAUUUUCAGAGGCCGGACACCUACCACACUGAGGUCUUGCACAAGAUUCAGGCUCUUUGGCCUUACUGUCGCUUCCAGGCUCUUUAGCCUUGCAUGGAUUCAGACUCUGUGGCUUUACUGUAGCGUCGUCAUCUCAGCCGGUUUUGUGGUGCCGGAGGUCAUUUUCCGAGGCCGGACACCUACUUCACUGAGGUCUUACGCAAGAUUCAAAAUUUUUUCUGCAAAAUAAGAGCUUGCAUAGAGCGUAUAUAACGAGAAUGUUCGUUGUUAAUUCAAUAAUAUUCAUCAAUAAAUAAUAUGUCGCACAUGGCACUUAGUUUCAUAUUUCAGAUGAAUGUAAAUAUUAGUUUUAACUAACAAUAUUAACUCAUGCAAUUUAGAGAUUCAAUAAAUAAUAUUUUGCAUAUGUAAAUUUCUCCAAAAUUUUUCAAUCUAUAAAAUACAUGAUCUUUUUCUUAGGAAUGUUUGUGCUAACAUUAAUAAUAAAAUCUUCAUGACAAUACUUGAAUUUUAAUAUUAUGUAAGCAAUUAUCAAGGUAUCUAAGCUCAGGUAAGUAUACUUUAAUUAAAUUUGGCGUUAUUAUUUACAUGCAAAUCAUACCUUUUAAUAAAAAUAUGAAAUCUUUUGUAUUCAACAAUAAUUAAUCAAAAACAAUUGCUAGUAAUUAAAAGGCAGUCUUGGAAUUCUAAAGCAAAAUAAUGACAUAAAUAGCAAGAGACAAUUUUGAAAUUUAAGUUUUAUUUUGCUUAUUUAUAAUUUGAUGGCAAUACUGUGAUCAUGACAAAAUGCCUAGGUUGCCCUUUGAAUGAUGAUAAUAAUGGAUCAAUGGCAUUGGACGUAAAAAAGUUAGAAUUAUUUUACAUGGCAAAUUAUGGUGGUCUCCCUAUUAAUGUAAGCAAGAUAAUUAAUUGUUGUUUUUAAAUUUCUCCUUUUGUUAUAAUAGUUGAGGAAUAUUUUUCACAAUAAAAUUAUAUAUAUUAUUAUUACUUUUAUUUUCAGGAGAUAACAAUACCUGUAUUUCAAAAGAUGUGUUGGCAACUUAACUAAUAGUUUAUUUUGUAAAUAAGGCUUUUCUUACCUCUUUCCUUCUAACUGAGCAAAUGCGGAUCUGCAUUGCCAUUGGGUCUUCCUUCAUGGGAGAGCCCUCUCGGCCUUAACAAGCUCGUCUGUUUGUCGAUUUGGAUAUGUAGUUCCCAAGUUGGCUAGCGUGCUGCACGACUCGCUCAACUUCGGCGAGCCCAAGUGGCGGCCGCACUCCAAUUUCACUCAUCUUCCAGUCGGCCAACAUGUACAACCCGAAUCCCUCCUCGAUCAGCUUGGGUAUUGGAUCACUUCUUGUCGUCUCCCUGUCGCACCGAUACUUGAGGGGUGCCGUUGUACGACCAAGUUGGAUGGCUAUGAAUCACGCCCUGGCUGCUCUACAACGUCAUCCUAUCCGACUUGAAAUGCGAGUCCGACCUCAAACAGGGCUCCGAUCUCGAGCACGGAUCUAAUUUCGAGCACGGGUCCGACUUCAAUGUGUAAUCUCUUAACGACGUUGUUGACUUUAGUAAAAUUCAACCAGUGAUUCCUUCUCAAGCUGACAUGCUUUCACUUACAGUACUGUGAUUAUUGGAUUUGCCGAGCUCUUUUUCAGUUUUGCUACUUCUACCAGCAGUCCAAUUCAUUUUCCCAACUCACCCAAUCCGAUCGACUUGCUAAUUCGAAUCUUGAGGACAGUACGACCAUCUGACCAGGAAUGUGAGACCGACUUCAAACAUGACUCCAACCUCAAGCAUACAUCUAUCCGACUUCUCGCGUUCAAUCUCAAGCGUGAGUCCAUCCACUAUUAAGUAUACUCCUGAUUUAUUCAAGUUGUUCAAUGUCCAGUCUGGCUCGUGAUGUUUACUGGGGACCUUUCCUUGGUUUGCUGAAGUCGUUUUUUUUUUCAAGUUUACUUUAUUGACCUGUCUGGGCUCUUUCUCCAACCUGUUGAGCGUGAUCUGCUGAAGCCUUCCCACUCGAAAGUUGAUCAUCUGGUGGUGGUGUCUGUUUGAACUCUUGAAGGUUGUGGUUUCUUCAUUCGCAGACAUGUGUUGUUGGCUCCAUCAUGUCCAGCUAUCUGCAUUGACAGGUGGUCCAUUUCAGCGUCGCGGCAACCUCACUUGUUGGAGUUCAACCAGGCCAGCGAUUUCCUCAUCAGGUCGACACAUUUUUGGCAGCUCAAGCUUUUUCCAAUCUUGCUAUUCCAAGCAACAGACUUUUCACCUGAGUUCUUCCGUCGACCUAUUUUUCAUCAUUUGUUGUACAGUACAACACCUAUCUAUUUGUUGUCCAGUCAAAGAGCUGUCCAAUCUAUCCAACCUACUUUAUUUUUCCUCGCGGAUUCUUUUUUUUUUAUUUUAUUUUUUAUUUAUUAAUUUUCUCUCUAACUUGUUAACUUUGGACCUUAUAGCCGACCUGUUCAUCUAACCUUUACAACAUAUGUACGAUCGACCUCAUAAUUUCAAUAAAUAUAUACAUCACUCAUUCUUUUUUUCUUUUUAUAGAAAAGAUUAAAAUUUUAUACUCAUAAAUAAGUAUUUCGAUCUAAAGUCUCACUUCACCAGGUUUCAAAGAAAAAAGUUAGUAGCAAUAAAAUUUAAUAAAUAUUAAAAUAAACUAUCUGAAAAACUAUCAAAAUAUUCUUUAACCAGCUGAAUCUUUCCUUUCAGUUAGGAAAGGCCUGAUGGGUCUUGGACCUACAUCUUUUUUUAAGACUUGACCUUGCCUCCAAGUGUAGAAAGUCCGACGGUCAUCAAAAUAUACAUCGCAACUGCAUAUUCGUAUUUUAUAUCAUUCUUCAUCAUAUUUUCUUGAUAAUAGAAAAAUACCGAUUUUUUUCUUUUUAUUUUAUCUACAAAUUCAUUAUUAUUAAUAAUAAAAUUAUAAAUAAUAUUUACAAAACAUAUUUAUAAAUAACACCAAUCGAUUUUUUAAUUUUUGAAGCUACCAUUAAAAUAUUAAAAGAUACCAAUAAAAUACAUCAACGUGACACAUGCAAUUUUUAAGAAAUUUUUGAAUUAAAAAAGGGAGGGAUAAAGUCCAUCCAAAAGUAAAUGUCAAGAAAUAUAAUUAUCCUAAUGGAAAAUAAAUCUAUGCUAUUUGGUUAUAAAACUAUAUUUUUAACAUUACCAUAUUAUGUAAUUUUCUUUAAUAUAAUAAUUACAACAUUUUGCAUUCACCCUUAUAUAAAUAGCGAAUACGAAUAGUAUAAGAGUUAAUCACCAAAAAAAUUUAUUCUUAUUCAAAUUUUAGCAAUUAUAUUUUUAUUAAUUUAAUUAUCAAUUAAAUUUUAAAUCUUCUAUAUUAUUUUAAAUAUACACGCCUGUUAUUUUUACUGUAGUGACCAAUGGAAUUACCACAUUAUUUAUCACGUUUUCUGCUGCAUCAAUAAAUUUUAUAGUAUAAUUUAUAAAAAAAAUUAAAAUAUCAGAGUAUAAUUAUAAUUUUUUUAAAAUUCAAAUUUUUUUACUAUUUUAUCUAAAAUUAAAAUUAAAAAUUUAUAUUAUUAUUAUUAUUAUUUUUUUAUUUUAUCUAUAAUUUAAGUAUACUAUUUUAUAUUAAUUCAAUUUCGAAUUAAUCUAUUUCCUAAACUUUUUUUUUCUUAAAUUUACUCUAAAUAUUAUUAAAUUUUUUAAAAAAUACAUAAUUAAUAAUAUAGUAUUAAUUAUAGUUAACAGUAGAAAAAAAAUUUUUGAAAGACCGGUUAAAUUUUAUCUUUACAAUAUAUUUUUUUAAAAUAUUUUUUUUAUGAAAUAUUUUCAAGCAUAUUAUUAAUCAUGUAUUUUUUAACUAAAAUUGUAAUUAAAAUAAAUUUAGAAAAAUAAUUUAAAGGUGAAUUAAUUCAUAAUUGAAUUAAUAUAAAUUGAUAUAUCCAAAUUAUUGAUAAAAUUAAAAUAAAUAUAAUAAUAAUAUCAAAUAUUUUAAUAUUAUAAAUUUUAUUUUUAAAUAAAAUAGCUAAGAGAAUUUUAAUUUCUAAAAAAUUUUAAAAUUACACUUUAAUGUUUUAGAUUUUUACUAAUUGUACCCUAAAAUUUAUUACCGUAGUAAAUGACAUGGCACGUUAGACACUAUCUAAUAUAUUUAGAACAAUAUAUAAAAUUUAAAAUUUAAGUAAUAAUUAAAUUAAUAUAGAUGCAACUACAAAAAUUUAAAAAAGAAUUGAGUUUUUUUAAUAGCUCUUAAUAUAAUCAUUAACUAUUAUUAUCAUUUAAAAUUAAUAUUUACUUAUUUUAAAUGAUUUACUUUAAUAUUAAAAUUAAUUAUUUUAAUUCAAAUAAUUCUCUCUAUCUUUAAAAAAAUUACAAUUUUAAUUUAAACUUGAUUAUAACCCACUAAUUAAUUUUCAUUCUUAUUAAGUAAAAUUUAAAUUUUUACCAUCAUAUUUAAUUUUUUUUUUAUUAUCAUAAUUUGUUAUUCGAGCUGGAGUUAUGUUACAUUAAUUAAUAGAAUUAUAAUUAUAAUAUAUAAUAAUUAUUCAAUUCUUAAUAUUUAAUUGUAUUAAUCAUUUCACCUGUUUAAUAUUUAUUAUAGCUGCCACUAGUUACAAUUUAAAAUAGCUAAGAUUUCAAAAUACACAAGUAAUUUUGUACAUAGACAUUAUGAAUGGAAGCUAAUCUUGAAUAGGUAAGUAUAUGUUCAAAUUAUUUAUAAUUUUGAAUUUGAAUUUUUUAAAAAUGAAAAAUUAAGAAAAAAAUUUAUAAUAAAUGUUUUAAAAAAUAAUUUUGCUAAAAUCUUGUGAAAAAAUAAUAUUAUUAAAAAAAUCCUAAAAAUAAUUUUUGCCAAGAAAUUUAAGAAAAUUUUUUUGAAAGAAAUUAAAAUUUAAUAUUUGGUAAUCAUUUUGGUAUUUAAUUGAUCUGACCAAUUGAAUCAAUAAAGUUUAAAGUAUUUUUAUAGCAAAAUAAUAUAUUUUUUAAUUAAUUACUAAAGUUAAAUUAAUUAAAAAAUUCAAAUUCAAAUUAAUUAUUAUUUAAAAUUUAAUAAUUAAAAAAUAAGUUUUAAAAUAUAAUUAAAUAUUAUAUUAAAAAAUAAAAUUAUUUACCGUGCUAAAUGGAAACUAUGAAAGACUCGAAAUUUAAUGAGAUGUAGCUCAACGUCGUCGACGUCGUUCGCUUUUGUUAUUUACUAAAAAUAUUACACUUCUUUUAUUGUUAUUUGAGUCCAAUAUUUAUUAUUUUUUAUUUUUUAAAAGUAAAACUGCUUAUUAUUAUAUUAAUAAAAUUUUAUCAAAUAAAUAUGAAUAUCAUAAAAAUAGAGUCGAUUAUGUUUGAAAAAUUCUCUAGCUGAAAUAUGAACAGUUAAAAUAUUAUUACAACGAAUUUAUCUAACAGAAAUAUCAGUUCUAGAGUCUAACAAAAAUUUAUAAUUAUUAAAAAUCAAACUCCUACAUAAGAUAAUUUGGUAAAAAUAUUCAUUUUUUUCAUCUCUUGAGCAUAAAUUAUUAGAGUCUUCCGAACAAUUUUACGAAAAAAAGUUUCUAUGAGAUAAAACUUGAAUAAAGUUCCAAAACUAACAUCAUCGUUGCGAUUUCGGAAACCCAUAAUAACUAGUAAAUCUCCAUUGAACAUUACUUUCCGAAACAACCAAAUUAAUAAAAUUUAAAGAAAAGUCAACCAGAGAAACAGAUCCAUAAUUUCUUAACGAAAGACCUGCUCUCAAUCAUUAUCUAUUGACUGAGAAGCAACUAUCGAAAUGUAAAAAAUUAUGAAAAAAUUCCAUAUGAAAACUAAAAGUUUUUGUUUUCAUUAAAAAUAAAAUGUCUGACUUGUAACUAGAAAUCAAAUCAUUCAAUACAAUAAUUGUCCGAGGAUUACCACCGCAAAUCUGCUAAAGAGGUCUGCAUAUUCUGAAAAUUGAUUGGAUUGUAUGUAAAAAAUAUUUCUACCAUACAGAAAUCAUAAGUGAUGAACGAAAUAUCUCUGAAUCUCUUAAUAGGGAUAAUAAUAUCUUUUUUUUUAAUAGAUAGUCAAUUGACGCAGAUCGUCUUCCACAUGAAAGGGGAAAGAAGAAAUUAGAUUUAAGGAAGAGAAAAAGACGAGAGUAUCGAGUCACAAAGGGACUACAGAGAGAAAUUUAAAGAAAAUAUAACAUUGUAUAUAUUAAUUAGUGCUUUUUUUUUAGUCCAAUAUUUAUUUAAAUGGAUAUAUAGUAAUAAAAAAUUAAUAAUAAUAUUUAUAUUACUUUUUAAAUAAGUUUAUUUUAAGAAUUUCAAAUUAAACGCUCUAUUCUUAUAUCAUGUUUUUUUUUUUUUAAAAAAAAAUUAUUUUUAGAGUUCAUGAAUAUGAGGUUUUGUCUUGGUUUAUUAAUACUUUGAAUGAUUUACCCGUUAACAAAAUACUCAUGAAAUAAUAUUGUGAAUUUGGGUCUACUUUUAUUACUAUAUGAAAAUAUUUUCAAGACAUGAGUCAUUUUAGCUUAUUUUUUGAAUGGAUGGAUACUCCAGUUUUUGAAAGAUGAGAAUCAAUUAUGUAACAUCAUAAUUUAAGUAUUGUAUAUAUCAUUAAAUAUUGUAUAUAUCAUUAGUCAAAUUUUUUAUAAGAGCUACAUGUAAUAACAAACUUGUAAAAUGAAUUUAUUUAUUAUAAAGAAAUUCAUAGUUUCUGACCCUCCUUCCUCUUAAUUAUUAUUUGAACAAGUAAAAAUUUAUCUUUAAGAGAAAGUAUGAAUCAGAACAGAAGAGAUUAUCCCACUACAAGAUAUAGAAAAGCAGGAAUUUUCUAAAGAACCGCACUCCUUUGUAAAUGUCAAGAGUCCAUUAAUGAGAAGAGACUAAGGAAAACUUGAACUCAAUUCCUAUAGUUAUGAAUAUAAGCACAAUUGCAAUUUGUGAGCAAUUAUACAUUUGUGUAUUGAUAAAACUAUUCACCAUUUCUUUAAGCUUCAUCUCUCGAGCAGACAAACAAUAUAGCCAAGAGAAAGUAUAAAUUAGAACUGAAGAGUUUAUCCCACUCAUGAGUAAAUAUUUUGUAGUAAUCUCGUUAUACCAUACAUCUUUUUUGUUAUAUUCAGAUAAUAGAUAGAAACAUAAAUUGAAAUAUAUCUUUUUUGUUAUAUUCAGAUAAUAGAUAAAAGCAUAAAUUGAAAUAUUCUGGAGUGACAAGGAUGGUUAGUAAACCGUUAGCACCACAUCAUCUUUUGUUGAAAUUGUUCAUUUGAAAAUUUUCUGAAAAACUAAUUGCGGAUUCUUUUCUCCAUCGGAAUAAUAGAGCCAUUAUGCUAACCACAUCCAUCUUUUGUUGAAAUUAUUCAUUUGGAAAUUUUUUGAAAAAACUAAUUAUGGAUUCUUCUCUCCAUCGGAAUAAUAGGGCCAUUAUACUUAUUACUAAAUUUAUUGAAGAGAUGAAAUAUAACCAAGAUAUAUAUUUUUUUAGAGGUUGAAUCAAUCAUUAGAACAAGAAUUGGGCUAAAAAUUAAGAUAUAUUUUAGAAAAAUAAAAAUUAUAAAAGUGAAGUAAAUAAAAGGUUUUUAUAAAAAAUUUCAUAGAAUCGAGAAUGAAAUUUUCAUUCUGCAUAAACCAAAUCAUGAAUUAGUAAUUAUAUUUAAUUUCCAAAUUUUAAUUGUUUCAAACUUUCUUUUUUUUUUAAGAAUGAAAUAUUCAGAGAAUCCGAAUCAAAUUUUAUUUUAUGAUAUUUACUUUUUUCUUAUUUUUAAAUCAAUAUCUUUUUUAAAAAUAAAAUAUUUAAAAAAUCCCGAAUUAAAUUUUAUUUUAUGAUUUUUACUUAUUUCUUAUUUUUAAGCAAAUAUCUUUUUUAAUUGAUCAUGAUUUAUAUUUCAUCUUUCGUUUUUUUUUUAUUUUUUAUUUAAUUCCAGUGUUUAUUAUAAAGGUUUAGAGUAUUUUAUUUGGAAGUUAUAUCAAUCAGUGUGUAACGUGUUUAUUAGGAGAUUUUAUAUGGUAAAUGUGUGAAAUUUAAAAAAUUGAGAAGAGAAGGAUAUGUUUAUUAGGAGUUGUACGUGUAUCUUCUUCCCUGUUGGUCUCACUCCAAAAGCUAUAAUAGAUUGAAGCCACCAAAAGUCCUCCAACCUUUUUCCUUCUUUUUAUGUGCUUUCUUAGUUAAUUAGGCGGAUGAUUGGAGCAGUUUAAGCAGGUUUAUGUGGUUAUUAGUGUAGUGUUUCAUCUCUCAUUUCAAGUCUAUUUCGUGUAGGAUUUGACUUCAGAAAUUGAGAGAAUCACUUGUUGAGUCGAAUCCAAUUGAUCUCACUUCAAAAAUUGAGAGAAUCAGUUGAAUCAAUUCAACUAUUCAUGAACGAUGUGCGUUAAGCUAUACAGAUGGAGUAGAAUCAGAAACUUUUUACUUAAUUAACGAACCAUUUUUUACUUCAAUAUCCUCCUAUACAGUAAAAAUUAAAGAAAAAUAAUAAUAAAAGGAAUAGGGAUUUUUUUCUUCUUUUCCUUUUUGCUUUGGUGCUGAUAUGGCCAUAACUUGAUUCAUCAAGAAUAAAAUAAGAAAUAUAGGAGAAGAUAACAAAAGAUAAUUACGUGGCACCCCUUGUCGAGAUAGACUAAAAAAAUUAUUGGUUCCUGUGUGUUUCUUCUUGGCCCCAUGUUUUACUCCUAAGCAUGUCGGUAAAACUACGGCUCAUGAUACGCCUGAAUCUGGUGUCUUCUGUCGGUGGAGGUUUCACAGCCUUUGGGGAGUCGGGUGUUGGUGGCUGUUGGUCUGCAGCUUCUUUCUUGCUCAAUAGCUUACCUUCUCCAAAGAAAUUACUAACUGAUGAUGCUAUCCCAAGAUGAGCACCCAUCACCUUACUAAUGGUCUCAAACUUUCCACCUGAUCUUUCCUUUAUUAUUAUCUCAAUGGCUUCUUUGUGCGCUGGAUCUAAUGCAUCUGGAUCUCUUAACAAGUUUGUUAUAGCAGGGAUGAGGAAUUCCCGCACACUAUUUGCUGAAAGAUCUGCAGUAAUUAUAAGUAGAAAUGAGAAGUAAGAUAAUGUGAUAUUUGAUUUUUAUGCAAGUUCAAUGGCAAACAGUCACGUGCAUAAACGGCAAAUGCACAAUGUAUAACCAUCAUAUAACAAUGAAUCCAAAUUAUGCAGAUACUUCUAUGAAAAUCAUCCAUCAAGCCCUUGAGGAUGGCAAAUCUAGCAAACCAAUGAGAUUGUUUAGGUGGUAACAUGAACCUGUAGCAUCCAAGGCACGAAUUGCUUCACAGAAUGCAUUAGCCCUCUCACGGCGACGCAUGAUAUCAUUUGCAGAAGCUGGUGCCGCUGUAAAGUGAAAAAUCUUGGAAAGAAGGUGUAUGUAAUGUUAACGAAACAAUUUAUCUAUUCAUUAAAACCUAUAGACUGUUGAUAUAGGGAGGGGCUAAAGUAGAACAACUGAAAUUCUCUAAUUCAAUAAAACAAUCAUAAAAUUAAAUUAUCCAGAAAUGUUUAGGAUAUAAUCUCUAAGUUUCUCUGUUGUGUGAGGUACUGCUACCAGCAACCCACGGAUAACAGCAACAAAAGCUUCAUGGGAUCCAUCUUCAAGAAAAGCAUCCAUUUGAACAAGAAUUUUAUCAACUAUCUGAAACAUAACAAGUAUGAUGAGUGAAACCUAUGAACUGAUCCCUAAAGACUGCCAGUAUCACUUUAGGAGAAAAACACAUAUACCAUCUCAUUUUUGAAAUGUUGUGCUACAGCUCCAAAUGCAUCUAUGGUGGCAUACUUCACAUUCAGGUUUUGAUCAGAGCCAAGAGUAACUAGAGCAGGCAAAACAUGGAUAGAAACAACUUUUGCAUCAAAGUGUGCUACCUGUUAAAGAAUGAAGUUAAAAUUUCAAAAUAAUGUUAGGUGAAGUUUGAAAAUUCAAACAAUAAGUUGCCCUUCAAAUGAUGUGCAAACAAGCAAUAACCAACUCACUAUGACUUUUAAUAGAUUGAUAGUAUUGAUUCUCAUAUCUACGUUGGAGCUAACAACCAUUUCCCAUAAAAUAUUGAAUAUCAUACUAUGGUGAUGUUCAAUGGUGCUGCAUCAUGGAAGAAACCUAUAAACAUUAGUUACAUAUAACUCAUGAACAAUGGUACACAAAGGCACCUAGUUAUCCACUAACCAAAGAAACCGGACAGCAUUAAUAAUUUCAACAUAGUGUUUUUUUGAUUGAUUCUCUUUUGGUGAGCUGUCAACAAGCAGCUUCCUCAAGUAGCCUGCUAGUUCUUCAUGCUUACUGGGAGCACCUAGAACACCUGCCAAGAGGAGUGGCAGAACACACAUUGUAGCAAGCCUCUCAGCCACAACAGUUUUUGGCCUCAUUCCUGCUAUAUAGCAAUAUAGUAAAUGAAAGAAUUGAAAUAAUAAAGGGAAAGAAAUUUAGAAAAAUAACAAUUUCACACCUUUGAUUUGCGAAUGAAUGGUAGUCGGAAAAUAUGUUAAAUCUGCUUUGUCCCCAACUGCUACCAAGAACACAGGCAUCAUUAUGUGUACCAGAUAAGAAUCCCCAAAGUGUUCACUUACAGCCAACAAAAACUGCAAACCAUCUCUAACUUAGCAACAACUAAAGCACUGUCCUCAAUACACAGGAAUGGGACAAAUCUUAACGCAAUAAUUCAAAGCAGAAACAUCACCUUUGUACUUCUGUUUCUUAAAUGGUCUUCCUUCGCAGGUAACAUGCAGGCUAACUGUAUCAAAUGAGGAAAGCAAUCAAGAUGCAUCCACUCAAAUGGUGCCCAUUCAACGUGUCCCCUAGUAAGAUAUUAAAAUCUAUCAGAAGCAAAAUAUGGUCAUGAUCAAGCAUUCAGCUUCAACAACAAUAUUACAACUUAUUUCCAUCAGGAAACUAAAAGAGUAAUACAGAACAGAUCACUGGAAAUUACUUCGAAUACAAUUCAAGAGAUGAGGUGGAGAACACUGUAUCCUUCAACUCUGUUACUGAAGAAAAAGGGCAAGCUUCAACUGCCUUCUGGUGCAUGAAUGGAAGCAACUCCAACAGCAUUCUCAAAAACACAUCAAUACUCCAGCGUUCCCGUUCCCCCAGAAAACGUAGAUGUGACUCCAUAGAGCCUUCGACCCCCGAGAGAGGUGGACAAUGCUGAAGAAGAGAAAGAAUAGAGUUAAGAAAAUUAUUUUACAAACCAAGCAAAGAAGAGGGGAAGCAAGAAAUCAAUUGUAAAAAACAAGCAUACCUGAGCAGUGGUCAUAAUAUGGGAAAGUAGAAGUCUUAAAAUGUGAUCCAACUUGUUUCCCCAUUUUAUUACUGCAGGAAGUAGCUCCUUAAGUGCAGUUUCCACCACCACUCCAGAGGGAUCACAUACCAAUUGGAACAUCAUCUCCUCAACCUAUCACAAACAAUUUUAAGCAUUGGAGGAUUGGUGUAUGGAGUAACUUUAAUUUCAUUUGUAUUAUAUAAACUUAAUUUUGUUUUCUUAUCUUCCCAUGUCAUCUAAGUCAUUAUAUUAUGGCAAGGGGAAAAGGCUCCAUUCAGUUCCCUAGACCAUGUUCCUUUAACCUGUUCUAGAGCUUACAUUGUAGCCAAUUCUGUCAAAUCAGAAUUCUUCUCCAUGAUUGCCUCGAAGCAUAUUUAGUGAGGCUGACCUUGGAAUAUUUGUCCACAUUUGGGAAGAGUGGAAGCAGCAAAGCCAGAUUACGUGCAGCCGCCUCUCGAACAACAGUUGCAGCAUCUUCUAUCAGUUGUUGCACAAUGGACAAAAUUAGAGAAUCACGGAUCUCAGGCAUGACAAACUCUGCGAGCUCUCCACAAGAUUGAGCAACAAGCAAUCUACGCUCCUCAUAUGUGUGGUUUAUCUGCAAUCCAUAAAGAUCAGAAAAAUGAAGUGGACCCGACCAAGUGGAAAGAAAGUAAGAAAAGUGAAAAUAAGAGGCCAUAUGGGAGAUCCCAAAAAACCAUUACUGAACUCACUUGUUCCCAACACUGGGGAAGCAAUUCUGUUUCCGUUCUCAUCUCUCCUACAUUCUGAGCGAGACUAACACAUGCCUGCAAUAGGCUCAGAAGAUUCAGAAUCAAAUUCAAAUUAUAUGCCUAAGGUAGAAUGCAAUUAAUAUUCCAAAGAAUCCAUUAUAUAGUCAAAAGUGAUGACUUUACAUCCAUUAUGAUCCGUCUCUGUUGCUCAUCUGGACGUUUGAUCAAAUUAAACAAUGUGUGGGUUAAGGAAUCCCUUGUGGUGCCAUCUGGAUGGCGCUCAAUUGCACACAUCAUUAGGGGGAGAAGCUCCUGCACAAAUCAAUCAGUAUUAGAAGUCUUUAAGAUAAACAUGGAGAUAAAUUAAGAAAAAACAGUGAAAAGCAGACCUCCCGAUGAUUGAUCAAAACAUAAGGAACAAUUUUGGGCAAGGCAUCUGCAAGGAUCUGAAUUGUUUCUACACCCUGCAAAAUAGGUCAAUAUCACGAAAAUGCCAUACAGGGAAAUUUGAGCUAAAUGCAAGAGGCAGGCAGGUAAGCAAAAAGAAAGUUCUAAAAACUUAUUCAGGUACUCCUGCCAAUAGUAUCAAUGGCCUGCAAGUUCACAUAUUUAACAAGAAUCUAGCCCACUUAGAAAGAUAAAGAGAGAGAGAGAGAGAGAGAUGGAUGUAGGAUGAAACGGUCGGGCCCGAACUGGCCCAAAUAACUUUUGGGCCCACUUUCCACUUGGCCCAAAAUGGUUAACCCAAGUUAUUUAGUAGUUCUGUACUAGCUAUUAUAUACAAUUCCAAUUCCAAUUUCAUAUAAUCUUCCGAUGUGGGACGAUCAGCUGCCGCAAUUCCGCAAGCAGACAGCUGACCGUUACACUCGGUCCCGCUAAAUUUUACGACGUUCUCGUCGCAACUGAAUCCACUACAAUUGCUAACUAGGACCGGACCCUUGGGUAUUGUGGUUCGCUAGUACCUCGGGCGGCUCCACCUCGUCUCGUCUCUCACGGGUAGCCCUUUCCUCGGAGGCCCACUAGCUCCGCACAAAUUUUCUGAUCUAGGGUGGCUCUGAUACCAAUUGAAGCAGUCGGGCCCGAACUGACCCAAAUAACUUUUGGGUCCACUUUCCACUUGGCCCAAAAUGGUUAACCCAAGUUAUUUAGUAGUUCUAUGUUACCUAUUAUAUACAAUUCCAAUUCCAAUUUCGUAUAAUCUUCCGAUGUGGGACAAUCAGCUGCCGCAAUUCCGCAAACAGGCAGCUAACUGUUACAUAGGAUACUCCUUAAAGGAAAAGAAUGCAAUUUCCAAGAGAAAGAAAAAGAACUUGCCAUUUUCCCUGAAGCAGCUUCAACAUUUAAAUUGUCCAAUUCCACAUGUGGCGCACCAUCUUUUCUAGGUGGUUCACCAUUUUGUUUAAUGUCCUUUUGAUUGUUUUCAAUAUAAAUAUCUUUAUUUGAUUGAUUUCUCAACAAAUCAGAUGAAACUUCCUCAGGUUUGCUAGUGUUGUUGUCAUUUAUCAGUAAUUUACCAUCUUCACCGCCCAACACUCCAACUGCAUCACAUGGGCGAGAUACAGUUUUAUCUUCAUCUAUCUCAACAACUCUCUCUUCUGUUUGCAGAGACAACUCCUCAUUGUUGUUGGAAUCUAAAUAUUCAGGAGCUUUUGUCA
rnacentral:lncRNA from 1 species